CACCGCGUAGCUCAGUUGGAAGAGCAUUGGGCUAGUAUUCCAAAGGUCGUAGGUUCGAAUCCUACCGUGGUCG
rnacentral:tRNA from 1 species